rnacentral:lncRNA from 1 species
UCUGAACCGGCGAACCCCAGGCCACGGAGAAGCGCAACGUGCACACUUAACUGCUGCGCCACCAGGCAGCCCCUAUUUGUUAAAAGCUGGGAGAAGUCAGACAAAAUGAGACUUCAUUAAUAUUUAACAUCUGAUAAAAUAUUUACCUUGCAGAUUUAAAAUGCUCACAAAAUACUACCAUUUUGUGGUGGUUUCGCCACACCAUCUUCGCCAUUGGGCACUAUUAUUUUGUUGUUUUUCCCCCUAGACAAAUAGGUCUGCUUCUAACUACGCGGUUUGCAGCUGCAGGCCUGUGAGCUCCAUUUGUAAGGCGAGGAAGGGGAGGCGUGUAACAUAUGUGCCUCCUGGAACCAGCUAGUAAUAGUAUGUUCCACCUGCUAAGAAGACCUUCUGCCGUGCUGUGCCAGCCACUGUUCUUGUAUCGUCCUCUAACCUUUGCUCCUGUUAGAUAGGUACAGUUUCCCCACUUUACAGAGGAGGAAACUGAGGCACAGGUCCCUGGGACAUAUCACUGGAGCAGCUGAGGACCAGCGACGGGUACUGUCGUGCGGGUUCUUCCCACACCAGGAGCGUCACCAUAUCGGGGCUCAGACACUGUGUGAGCACUGACUGAAUGCAGCAGGGCUGGCCUUGGGGCCAAGAAGCCUGGCUCCAUCCACCUUGUGACACCAGCUGUGGGGCCUUGGUAAGUCACUUCUGCGGCCCCUGACCGCAGUUUCCGCAUCUGUACAAUGGGGAUAAUAAUGACUACCUUGGAGGGUGGCUGUGCAGCUUAAAUAAGGAGAAGGGUGUGACUGAGACCACACGAGAGGCCUUGCAAGCGUGAGCUGAAACGGGCUCUCCAGGUGUCCUCUGGCUAUGACUCAGGGGCCUGCCGGGGAGUGUGGCCUGACGCAGAAUCCCAAACAGACCACAGGGGAGAAAGUGUCAGGCUGGAAGGGGGCAGGAAGAAGGGUUGGGAAGGGUCCUGGGAGGGCUCCCUGGAAGAGGUGGUGCUUGCACUAAAGGAAAAUCAGUACUAUUGAGUGGUCAGAGCUGCUGCCGGCAGCUGAACUUCCAUUUAGAACCCGGACAGCAGACUUCCCACAGGAGGUAGUGUAGGUAACAAACCUAGAGGGGACACCCCAGAAUGUCUUGGGGAGCUCUGCCCACCCUCUCUGGCACUGACAGAUGCAUUCGUUCAUUCAUUUCGUAAGUGUGUACUGAGCGCCUGCUGUGCGCCAGGGGUUCUCCCAGUGUCAGUGAACAGAACAAAUCCCUUCUCUCGGAGCUCACAUUCUGGAGAAUAGAGGAAAACCAGACAAUAAACCAAAAAUAAGGAUUAUCAGGCCGGUGGUGAGUGCUAAGGGGAGAAAUGAAACCAGGAGAGGGGAGUAGAGAAUGAAUGAGGGGGGUGUGAAUCAG